AGGAGGGGACAUAGGAGGGGGAAGUGAGAGAAGAGGCACAAAAUACCCAUCAGGGGAGUAAGUUCAUUUCGGUUCAACAACAGACUUACUGAGAACAGAUGAAUGAAACUUUGUCCUACGAGGUACACAAUCAUCUGCCAGAAGAAAACUGCUGACCUCUCUCAGUACAGAGCCUUCUGGAGUGGACAACGUCCCUGGGAAAGAGAAGGGCAGUAGUGUGUGAAGGACUUGGUACCUGUUGCUUUCUCCUGAUGCCAGGCCACUGGGGAAACCAGCCCAGCGUGCAGUGCAGGCUUCUAGCUCAUGACCCAGGUCCCGCCUCUUCUACCUUUUUACCUAUUUCACUUCCAAACCCACUGUAAUAUAAUAUCCCCCCCCCAGAUACACAAUUCUUUCCUAUUAUUUUGCACUAUUUUGCCUU